rnacentral:rRNA from 1 species
UGUCUCCCCCCUCUAAUCAGUGAAACUGAUCUCCCCGUGAAGAAGCGGGGAUAAAUUUAUAAGACGAGAAGACCCCAUGGAGCUUUAAGCUUAACGGCACCUAUUAAUUUCAUACCCUCAUAUUCUCCUAGUAAUGCUUGUUCAGCUUUGGGUUGGGGUGACCAUGGAGCAAAAAAUAGCCUCCACGAAGAAAGGAACAAAACCCUUAUCAAAGAGUUACAUCUCUAUGAAUUAGAACACUAACUUUUAAUGAUCCGAUAAUCGAUCAACGAACCAAGUUACCCUGGGGAUAACAGCGCAAUCCAUCUCAAGAGCUCCUAUCGACAGGUGGGUUUACGACCUCGAUGUUGGAUCAGGGUUUCCCAGUGGUGCAGCAGCUACUAAAGGUUCGUUUGUUCAACGAUUAAAACCCU